rnacentral:rRNA from 1 species
AGAGUUUGAUCCUGGCUCAGGACGAACGCUGGCGGCGUGCUUAACACAUGCAAGUCGAACGGAAAGGCCCUUCGGGGUACUCGAGUGGCGAACGGGUGAGUAACACGUGGGUGAUCUGCCCUGCGCUUUGGGAUAAGCCUGGGAAACUGGGUCUAAUACCGAAUAUGACCAUGCGCCUCCUGGUGUGUGGUGGAAAGCUUUUGCGGUGUGGGAUGGGCCCGCGGCCUAUCAGCUUGUUGGUGGGGUAAUGGCCUACCAAGGCGACGACGGGUAGCCGGCCUGAGAGGGUGACCGGCCACACUGGGACUGAGAUACGGCCCAGACUCCUACGGGAGGCAGCAGUGGGGAAUAUUGCACAAUGGGCGCAAGCCUGAUGCAGCGACGCCGCGUGAGGGAUGACGGCCUUCGGGUUGUAAACCUCUUUCAGCACAGACGAAGCGCAAGUGACGGUAUGUGCAGAAGAAGGACCGGCCAACUACGUGCCAGCAGCCGCGGUAAUACGUAGGGUCCGAGCGUUGUCCGGAAUUACUGGGCGUAAAGAGCUCGUAGGUGGUUUGUCGCGUUGUUCGUGAAAACUCACAGCUUAACUGUGGGCGUGCGGGCGAUACGGGCAGACUUGAGUACUGCAGGGGAGACUGGAAUUCCUGGUGUAGCGGUGGAAUGCGCAGAUAUCAGGAGGAACACCGGUGGCGAAGGCGGGUCUCUGGGCAGUAACUGACGCUGAGGAGCGAAAGCGUGGGGAGCGAACAGGAUUAGAUACCCUGGUAGUCCAA